GACGAACGCUGGCGGCGUGCCUAAUACAUGCAAGUCGAGCGAAGCGGCGGACGGGUGAGUAACACGUAAGGAACCUACCGAUAAGCGGGGGACAACAUCCGGAAACGGGUGCUAAUACCGCAUACUUAUCGAUGGCCUUGCGGUGCAUUAGCUCGUUGGUGGGGUAACGGCCUACCAAGGCAAAGCUGCAUAGCCGACCUGAGAGGGUAAUCGGUCACAAUGUGACUGAGACACGGCCCAAACUCCUACGGGAGGCAGCAGUAGGGAAUCUUCCGAAAUGGGCGAAAGCCUGAUGGAGCAACGCCGCGUGAGUGAAGAAGGUUUUCGGAUCGUAAAGCUCUGUUGUAAGAGAGGCGUUAUCAUACCAGUAAGCCACGGCUAACUACGUGCCAGCAGCCGCGGUAAUAC
rnacentral:rRNA from 1 species